rnacentral:rRNA from 1 species
AUUGAACGCUGGCGGCAGGCCUAACACAUGCAAGUCGAACGAGUGGCGGACGGGUGAGUAAUGUCUGGGAAACUGCCUGAAGGAGGGGGAUAACUACUGGAAACGGUAGCUAAUACCGCAUAACAUCAGAUGUGCCCAGAGUGGAUUAGCGUGUUGGGGGGGUAACGGUUCACCAAGGCGACGAGCCGUAGCUGGUCUGAGAGGAUGACCGGCCACACUGGAACUGAGCCACGGCCCAGACUCCUACGGGAGGCAGCAGUUGGGAAUAGUGCGCAAUGGGCGAAAGCCUGAUGCAGCCAUGCCGCGUGUAUGAAGAAGGCCUUCGGGUUGUAAAGUCCUUUCAGCGGGGAGGCGUUACCCGCAGAGGAAGCACCGGCUAACUCCGUGCCAGCAGCCGCGGUAAUAC